AUCCCUCGUGGAAAGUCACCUUCUCGUGGUGAGGGACGCCAGUAAGCUGGAUUUUAUGGUCUAGCUAAAGCUGAGAACUUU
rnacentral:ribozyme from 1 species